rnacentral:rRNA from 1 species
CAGUCGCCACGGGAACACGGAGGGGGCUAGCGUUGUUCGGAAUUACUGGGCGUAAAGCGCACGUAGGCGGCGAUCUAAGUCAGGGGUGAAAGCCCGGGGCUCAACCCCGGAAUAGCCUUUGAGACUGGAUUGCUAGAAUCUGGGAGAGGUGAGUGGAAUUCCGAGUGUAGAGGUGAAAUUCGUAGAUAUUCGGAAGAACACCAGUGGCGAAGGCGGCUCACUGGACCAGUAUUGACGCUGAGGUGCGAAAGCGUGGGGAGCAAACAGGAUUAGAUACCCGAGUAGUCCCUGUCUCUUAUAC